AUGAACGCUGGCGGCGUGCCUAAUACAUGCAAGUCGCGCGAACGGACGAGAAGCUUGCUUUUCUGAUGUUGGCGGCGGACGGGUGAGUAACACGUGGAUAACCUACCUAUAAGACUGGGAUAACUUCGGGAAACCGGAGCUAAUACCGGAUAAUAUUUUGAACCGCAUGGUUCAAAAGUGAAAGACGGUCUUGCUGUCACUUAUAGAUGGAUCCGCGCUGCAUUAGCUAGUUGGUAAGGUAACGGCUUACCAAGGCAACGAUGCAUAGCCGACCUGAGAGGGUGAUCGGCCACACUGGAACUGAGACACGGUCCAGACUCCUACGGGAGGCAGCAGUAGGGAAUCUUCCGCAAUGGGCGAAAGCCUGACGGAGCAACGCCGCGUGAGUGAUGAAGGUCUUCGGAUCGUAAAACUCUGUUAUUAGGGAAGAACAUAUGUGUAAGUAACUGUGCACAUCUUGACGGUACCUAAUCAGAAAGCCACGGCUAACUACGUG
rnacentral:rRNA from 1 species